ACGUACACUCCUGCGGGAGGCAGCAGUGGGGAAUAUUGCACAAUGGGCGCAAGCCUGAUGCAGCCAUGCCGCGUGUAUGAAGAAGGCCUUCGGGUUGUAAAGUACUUUCAGCGGGGAGGAAGGCGAUAAGGUUAAUAACCUUGUUGAUUGACGUUACCCGCAGAAGAAGCACCGGCUAACUCCGCGCCAGCAGCCGCGGUAAUACGGAGGGUGCAAGCGUUAAUCGGAAUUACUGGGCGUAAAGAGCACGCAGGCGGUCUGUCAAGUCGGAUGUGAAAUCCCCGGGCUCAACCUGGGAACUGCAUUCGAAACUGGCAGGCUAGAGUCUUGUAGAGGGGGGUAGAAUUCCAGGUGUAGCGGUGAAAUGCGUAGAGAUCUGGAGGAAUACCGGUGGCGAAGGCGGCCCCCUGGACAAAGACUGACGCUCAGGUGCGAAAGCGUGGGGAGCAAACAGGAUUAGAAACCCUGGUAGUCCCAUGA
rnacentral:rRNA from 1 species